rnacentral:rRNA from 1 species
CGUAGGUGGCAAGCGUUGUCCGGAAUUAUUGGGCGUAAAGCGCGCGCAGGCGGUUCCUUAAGUCUGAUGUGAAAGCCCCCGGCUCAACCGGGGAAGGUCAUUGGAAACUGGGGAACUUGAGUGCAGAAGAGAAGAGCGGAAUUCCAUGUGUAGCGGUGAAAUGCGUAGAGAUGUGGAGGAACACCAGUGGCGAAGGCGGCUCUUUGGUCUGUAACUGACGCUGAGGCGCGAAAGCGUGGGGAGCAAACAGGAUUAGAUACCCUGGUAGUCCACGCCGUAAACGAUGAGUGCUAAGUGUUAGAGGGUUUCCGCCCUUUAGUGCUGCAGCUAACGCAUUAACGCACUCCGCCUGGGGAUACGGCCGCAAGGCUG